rnacentral:misc_RNA from 1 species
CGAACAUGUCUCAUUUGUAGCAGUAGCUGUGUGCCAAAGCAAUGGCUUUUUCGGUUUUCCUGUCGUCCAACGCAAAACAGAAUCCAACAGCAGCAGCAGCAGCAGAAAUUUUCCCCGUCAUAAACUCCUAAUGAGCAAGAACUAGGAAUUGAAUUGAGUUGCUAUAUUGUAUUUGAUCAAAUUUAAUCAAAUGAGAAAGUAAAGAUGGGUUCGGAUUCGAGCUCCACACCAACGGCAUCGCCGAAUGGGAAGCGAAGUAGAGAUCCAGAAGACGAGGUUUAUCUCGACAAUCUCCAUUCUCACAAGCGUUACCUAAGCGAGAUAAUGGCAUCUAGCUUAAAUGGAUUAACUGUUGGAGAACCACUUUCUGAAAAUCUUAUGGAAUCUCCAGCAAGGUCUGAAGGCAUGUUCUAUGCCAGGUGAAUUUCUUGGUUUACACAUGAAAAUAACUGCUUGAGUAUUUUUUAUUCUUAUGGUUUUGUAACUUUCUGUACCAUUUCUCCUAUGUUAGCAGUUUAUUCUAUUAAUCCGUGAAUCAUGCAAUGCAACGUACUUGGAUUAAUUAAUGGCCUAAUAUUUUCUGGAAAUGGGAAUGUUUGCAGGCAUCAAUGGAAAGCAAAUGGUAAUUUGUAGUGUUGUAGUUUGAAAUACAGUAGUAGUGAAUCAUGGCUUAUCUUAUCAAUUAAUGUGAUGCAUACAGAGCACUUAGAUUGUUAGUAUUCCUCUCAAUGGCCAGUGAACUCUAGGCUGUACUAUGUACAUUAAGAGCUACUUUCCCCAUUUCUUCCUAUAGAGAAAGGAAGGGCAAUCUGAUUUUGAUCGCAUUAUCUGAAUAAUAAUUUACUCAUCUGGUCUUCUCUUAUCUUGGUUCAGUAAGGCAGUAACCGUGACGAAGUGGAGCUUUUAGCAAGUUUACGACUUGCAUAAUCACCAUUGAUCUUAAGACAAGGUUUGCAGUGAACUACUAGAACCAUAGAAUUUCGCAAGUCAUCUAUGCUUGCUUGAAUCACGAGAGUCCUUGAAGUCAUAGAAAAGCUUCCAAGUAGUUUUUGAAUAAUGAAAAGGAAUGGUUGAUACCUUUUAUGUUAGAAUGUUAAAUACCAGCAGGAAACUUUCAUGCCCAGUGCGUCAUGCUGUUGAAUGCUGCAAGCAAAAUGUGGUCUAAGGGGCCAGUUGCUCAUGUAUGAUUUCAUUUAAUGAAUGAAUUUGACUACUAGGGAAAAUGUUUUCAUGUUUUGCUUUUUCAAUAUAUUUAGCUCAAACAAGAUGAUGCCAUCUGAAUACACACUGACUUUUGAUCUGAUGUGAAAAUGGUGCCCUCUGUCUACAUUAACUUCUUUGUAUAAUAUUUUUCUUCUUAUUACAAAUUAGUAGCAUAUUUACUAUGAAUAUCGAGUCACCAAAAACCCAUUCUUUUGUUUCCACAGCUCUAAAGUGGGAAAACUAUUGCUGAAUGAAUUGCAAACAAAAAGAUUUUUAAGAAAAUUAAGAUGUCAUAAAAAUUACAAAGAUAUCCCUUCUCUUUGUAUUUAUGCACUCUUAUCUUAUAUGUGCAUAGUUUUCUGUCAUAACUGGGGAACUAUUUGUAAGCAUGACUCCACAUUCUUUAAGGUGGAUGUGUUUGUUCUAAAAGAGUCUAUUGGUCUUAAAUUUUACAAUAGCAUUGGUAACACCUCAUUGUCAUAUUUAGUUCUUUGAAAGCUUCAAUUCUUUUUGUUUAAUCCUAAUUUUUGUUGUGUUUUCUCAAAUUUAUUAUUUCAGGGAUGAAAUGUCCUUGCAAUAUUCACCAAUGUCAGAAGACUCGGAUGACUCUAGAUUUUGUGAGACCCCUAUAAAUACUUGCUCAUCACAACCUGAGAGUCUGCCCACCAGUCCAGUUUCUCCCUAUAGGUACCAAAGACCAUUUGGUGGGUUCUCUACCGCUUCUUCUACCAGCUCAUAUCCAGCGCAUGGCUGCACUGCCACUAGUGUCACUUGCUCACAACCUCGUCAACGAGGUUCAGAUUCUGAGGGUCGGUUUCCAUCAUCACCUAGUGAUAUUUGCCACUCAGCUGACUUGAGGAGGGCUGCACUCUUGCGAUCCGUGCAGAUGAGGACACAACCUCCUGGAUCAUCAUCUUUUGAAUUGCCUUUUGGCUCAGGGCAGGAGCCUGUAUCUAAUAUAGAAUCUGAUGAGCGGCCAUGCUUAUAUAUGAAGUCCUUAAUUGAUGAGAGAGAUUAUCAGAUUGAGUGCUCUUCUAGGGGUGCCACUGGACCUGAAUUUAAUGAUGGAAAGUCAUGCAGAGUGUUGAAUAUGAAUAUAAAAAGGGAUGAGUCUGGGGGUUAAACACUUCUGGAACUGGAUUAUCAAACUGACUUUGACCACAUCUUGUAAGAUUGCUAUAGCCUGCAGCAGUUCAAGCAUUUUUUCUGACCUAAAAGCUGUUUUUUUUUUCCAUUGAAUUCGUUGAUGAUUGUGAGUUUUGUAUCAGGCUUUUUUUUUUUACUAAGAGAGAAUCUAUAUGCUGCAUAUACAGUGUUAAUAAUGGCUAUCUCAUGCACCCAAAAGGAGGUUUUGAGGAUGUGAUUAUACAUUUUCACCUGCUUAAGUAAGCCAUCACUUGAUAUUGGUGGCCAAAUAUGACCAAAGUUGGGUUAGCCAAAUCUGACCAAAGUUGGGUUAGUGAUCUUUGUAAAUCAGUAAUAUAUUAUAUUUUAUAUCUCUUGGCUCUGAAAGGUUUUGAUGAAAUGUAGAGAAUUUAGAAGUUGAUCUUAUGAUCAAAGGAUCAGCCAGUAAUGUUUACCAUUUGAUAUAUAUUAGUAUUUCUGCCCUUCUUGUCGUUCUGUUUGAUCCUCUCUCUUGGAUCUAUAAUAGAUAGAUAUGAGAUUCUGAUGAAAAGCCUUUGCUAUGAGGAAAAAAAAAACCGCAGGUUUUGAGUGUCUCUCUUUACAAGCUUCAUACUGUGCAAGUUUGUUUGUUUGCCCACCACUAUGCCUAUUUCAAUGUGUCUAUUUUCUGCAGCAUAUUUGUAUGUGCAUGGUUUCUCUUACAUACUUUCUAUGGCAUAGAUGAGAAUAUGCCAAGGGGUGUCCCGUUCUUAACUAACCUACAAAGAUUCAAAAAAACAGAGGGAAGAAAGAAGAAUGCACUGGAUAGCAUGGUCCAAAUUGGUGGAUUGGUUUCGAGACAUGGAAUGCUUUAACCAAGCUCUUCUAGCUAAGCAAGGAUGGAGGAUUUUAGCUAACCCAACUUGCUAUCUAGACUGUUGAAGGGGAAAUAUUUCUAUUGCUCAUCUUUUUUGCAGGCUAGAUAAGGUAGCAGAGCUCUUCUUGGGGGUGGCAAAGCAUUCUUUGGGGUACAGAGAUUCUUUACAAGGGGAUUAAGUGGCAAGCCAGUAAUGGAGAAACCAUUAUGUGUGAGGAGGAUAAAUGGGUUCCUCAAUGUUUCCCCAAUCCGCCGAGAACUUCUCCAAGCCAUGAUAACGAGAUAGUGUGGGUUUCACAACUGAUCAACCCCAUCUCCAAAUCCUAGCAGGUCCACACAGUUAAGGCCAACUUUAAAGAGGAAGAUGCAAACCAUAUUCUUGCAAUUCCGACUAGCUUAUGCUCAAGGGAGGAUUGAAUGGUAUGGCAUUAUGAUCGGUAGGGGUUAUAUUCGGUCAAAUCUGGAUAUCGAGUGGCAUGCAACAUGAAGAAAGACUCUUCGUUACAUGGAGACCCAGGUCCUUCUAUCCUUAUCUCGUAAAUGUCAAUUCUGGAAGCAGUUUUUGAAAUUAAAUCUACCAAGUAAGCUUGAUGAUUUUCUUAUGGAGUUUGUUUGAAGAGAAAUUGUCCUCAAAUGAUUUGCUACACUGAAGAUUUAACAACAUGGCUCCAGACUGUAACAUAGGAAACAUAGACACAUUGCAUCAUAUUUUCUUAUCCCGUACACUAGCCAUCGCUGUUUGGUUACAUUCGCCUCUUGGACUGCAUUCCUUGAUGCUAGCUCAUUCGUCCAUGAUUGAUUGCUGGAAUGAACUUUGUUCUUUUCUUCAUCAGAUGCUGGAUGGGCUGGAGUUCAUUCAGCAAUCAACAUUUAUUCUUUGGCAUCUGUGGAAGGGUAGGAACUCCCUUGUUUUUAACCAACAAAAUCAGACUUAUCAAUAAAUCAUUUCAGCAGCGAUAUAUCAUUACGAGGAAUUUAAGCAAGUGCACGGAGCAGAUAAUAAUCCAAUUAUGUUCCCACAGUUAAUAUUCCUCCUGUCAGCUCAUAGUCACCUCUUUUGGGUUCAGCUCUCAAAUUGAAUGCUGAUGCAUUGACAGACAAAAGAAAUAAUAGAGGCACGAGAACUGUUGUUAUUAGAGGGCUUGUUUGGC